GGCCCGCUGGCGCAACGGUAGCGCGUCAGAUUCCAGAUAUCUUGGAAUGUCCUGAAGGUUACCUGUUCGAAUCAGGUGUGGGUCA